rnacentral:rRNA from 1 species
ACAGCAGCCGCCACGGGAAUACGUAGGUGGCAAGCGUUGUCCGGAAUUAUUGGGCGUAAAGGGCUCGCAGGCGGUUUCUUAAGUCUGAUGUGAAAGCCCCCGGCUCAACCGGGGAGGGUCAUUGGAAACUGGGAAACUUGAGUGCAGAAGAGGAGAGUGGAAUUCCACGUGUAGCGGUGAAAUGCGUAGAGAUGUGGAGGAACACCAGUGGCGAAGGCGGCUCACUGGACCGGCAUUGACGCUGAGGUGCGAAAGCGUGGGGAGCAAACAGGAUUAGAGACCCCUGUAGUCCCUGUCUCUUAUAU